UGAGGAAUAUUGGUCAAUGGGCGAGAGCCUGAACCAGCCAAGUAGCGUGCAGGAUGACGGCCCUAUGGGUUGUAAACUGCUUUUAUGUGGGGAUAAAGUGCGUGACGUGUCAUGCAUUGCAGGUACCACAUGAAUAAGGACCGGCUAAUUCCGUGCCAGCAGCCGCGGUAAUACGGAAGGUCCGGGCGUUAUCCGGAUUUAUUGGGUUUAAAGGGAGCGUAGGCUGUCUAUUAAGCGUGUUGUGAAAUUUACCGGCUCAACCGGUGGCUUGCAGCGCGAACUGGUCGACUUGAGUAUGCAGGAAGUAGGCGGAAUUCAUGGUGUAGCGGUGAAAUGCUUAGAUAUCAUGACGAACUCCGAUUGCGCAGGCAGCUUACUGUAGCAUAACUGACGCUGAUGCUCGAAAGUGCGGGUAUCAAACAGGA
rnacentral:rRNA from 1 species